UACAGAGGUCCCAAGCGUUGUUCGGAUUCACUGGGCGUAAAGGGUGCGUAGGCGGUCGGGUAAGUCUGAUGUGAAAUCUCACAGCUUAACUGUGAAACUGCAUUGGAUACUAUCCGGCUCGAGGAAUGGAGGGGAGACUGGAAUACUUGGUGUAGCAGUGAAAUGCGUAGAUAUCAAGUGGAACACCAGUGGCGAAGGCGAGUCUCUGGACAUUUCCUGACGCUGAGGGACGAAAGCCAGGGGAGCAAACGGG
rnacentral:rRNA from 1 species